rnacentral:rRNA from 1 species
CCAAUAGCGUAUAUUAAAGUUGUUGCAGUUAAAACGCUCGUAGUUGAAUUUUAGGCCUGGCCGGGCGGUCCGUCUUUGGCGAGUACUGUUCUGUGUCGGGUCUUACCUUCUGGUGAACCGGCAUGUUCUUUAUUGAGUGUACCGGGGAGCCAGGACCAUUACCUUGAAAAAAUUAGAGUGUUUAAAGCAGGCAUUUGCUUGAAUAGAUUAGCAUGGAAUAAUAGAAUAGGACGUUGGUUCUAUUUUGUUGGUCUAGGACCACCGUAAUGAUUAAUAGGGAUAGUUGGGGGCAUUAGUAUUCAAUUGUCAGAGGUGAAAUUCUUGGAUUUAUUGAAGACUAACUAUUGCGAAAGCAUUUGCCAAGGAUGUUUUCAUUAAUCAAGAACGAAAGUUAGGGGAUCGAAGACGAUCAGAUACCGUCGUAGUCUUAACCAUAAACUAUGCCGACUAGGAAUCGGGCGACGUUAUUUUCAUGACUCGCUCGGCGCCUUAUG